UGUAUAUGUUUGUGUUUAGGAUACACAUGAAUUCUUAUUUCAUGUUUUGGGCCAAAUGCAGCAGAUUGGCCAAAUGCUGAGCUGGGAAGGAGGCCUGGCUUAUGAAUGCCCAGUCCAGGCAAACUUUGGGUUCCAGCUCACAUCCAUCAUCACAUGUGGCGGUUGUGGAACUCAGAAAAGCAGUGAGGUGGACUUCAAUCACCUUGCUCUGGCUCUGCCAGCUCAGGGCUCAGUGAAGGACUGCCUCAGACUCUUCUUCAGUUGAUGAGGCAGAAGUUGAGUGCAGGUGUGAGGUGUGUGAGGGUAACUCUGCCAGCUGCAGGUGGGCGUUUCACACUCUGCCCAG